rnacentral:rRNA from 1 species
CAAUAGCGUAUAUUUAAGUUGUUGCAGUUAAAAGCUCGUAGUUGGAUUUCGGAUGUGAACGACCGGUCCGCCGUUGCGGUGUGCACUGGACGUUUGUAUCUUGUUGUCGGGGACGCGCUCCUGACCUUAACUGGGAGGGACGCGGAGUCGGCGCUGUUACUUUGAAAAAUUAGAGUGUUCAAAGCAGGCAACCGCUCUGAAUACAUUAGCAUGGAAUAACGCUAUAGGACUCUGGUCCUAUUGUGUUGGUCUUCGGGACCGGAGUAAUGAUUAAGAGGGACAGUUGGGGGCAUUCGUAUUUCAUUGUCAGAGGUGAAAUUCUUGGAUUUAUGAAAGACGAACUUACUGCGAAGACAUUUGUCCAACGGAAGUGUUUUCUUAUUAAUUACAAGAACGAAAGUUAGGGGGUCGGUCGAAGACG